GCCCUUUGCUGGCCCCGCCCCUCACUGGACAGACACUGCAGCAAGAGAGCUGGCCCCCAACCCUCACCGGAGAGCUGCUCCCACUUGGGAAAGACGAUCCAGAUGCCCUCACUCCUCACCACAGUAUUUAUGAUGCUUAAGGUGAGUCCCAUCGUGGCUCACUGGGAUGAGAAUACCUAAGAGAUGGGAGCUCUCAAGAGCCUGGUGAGGAAUCGCCAUGACAACAGGGAGACACUCGGGAGGAAAGCAGGGCCCCCAGUCUUGCUGCCACCAGGCCUGUUUGACAAAGGAAGUGCUUCUUGAUGUGUAAUAAAAUGAUGGGGGAGAACUGCCUUGACUCUCACUGUGGGACACUCACACUACUAAUGCAGAACAUCAAGAGCCAUUUCUGAGGUCACCCGGGAAUUUGACUUUCCUUCAACACCCUCUUUCUGCUAAUUCUGAAGACUUAAGACGGGUAUGCCUGCAUUUCCAUGUACUU